rnacentral:lncRNA from 10 species
AAACCUUUCUUCCCUGUGUUGUCUUAUCUUUCCAUUGAUCUUCUGUUGUGGGAGCAGCUGCAGGCUCCCCACCCUGUGAGAGCUUUCGUGUGCCAAGUCAUUGGCUACAGGUGGCAAAGUUGUGGCUCCAGUUCAAGUCUCUCCCCUGGAGCUGGAUGUUCCAGAAAGGACACUCAGUUCUUCAGGGCUGUCUCUGUGAUCCAGGCUUUGAUCUGGGAAAGGUUGCGCCUCAUUGCAGAGUUGAAGCUAUCUGCCUGCUUUGUUUACACGAACGCCCUUCCAGGACUCUGUCUGCUUUUGGGGUGGAAGUGCCCUGCCAAAAACUCCAGCUCUCCAUGCUGGCUGUGUGGCCAGCAUACCUCCUGCCUUUUCAACGAUUCCUCUGCCCUGGAUAGAGAGCGGUGUCUCAUAACAGUUUGGAAACUACAAAAGUUUCCCUGGCAGGAUGAAUGAUUGACUCGGCAACAUGUUCUUGCCUUUUGGAGUUGCCCUCCAAUUUUUCCAGGCUUGAUUCUGUAAAUCAUUUCAUCUUGUAAAAAUACUGGGCUGUGAGCACGGAUGAUCUCAAAGAUGAGGAAACAGAAGCUGGGAUAUGUGAGUAAACAUUUCCAAGGUCCUGCAGCUAAUCAAUGGUUGACAACUUCUUUCCUCUGCCUAUGUUGCCAUCCAUGUCAUGGUUUGUGUCAAGACUCUAGGAGAAGUCUACCAUCAGCACCACAGCUACUGUGCACAAAUCCAGAAUGCCAGACUGAAGUCAGAAGGAAAGGGUUCUUAAACAAGGGAGAAGCACUCUCAUACCCCUAGAACAAGAUGAACAAAAGAAGGAGGAAAAAUCUUGACCUCCGUAAGAUCCAGGAUGGCACGUGCAAGGCACUGACACAGCAUCUGCCGGCAUCACUGACUCUCCUGGACCCCAGAAGCCCAGUUCCCCAGGCUCUGAAACCCUGCAGCAAUGAAAAGGAAGCACAGGCAAACCAUAAGGAAGAUAAUUUUUCUACUAAAAAAUAAAUAGAAAUGCAUCCUUAGAGGCAGGUUUCAUGAGGACACAGAGAAUCCGGUUUUGUGUGUGCCUGAUUUCGUUUUUCUGUCAAAGAGAUACAAAACAAUCAACUGAGUUAUCUUGAACUUACAAAGAUUAAAAAUAAUCAAUUCCUGUUACUAUUUUCAAUUUUUCCCCCAUUUUACUUCUUUAGGUAUGAAGAAAUGUAGCCUAUUAAAACCUGGAUUAAUAAAAACCUUUCAUUAACUUUU